GGCAGCAAAGACCAGCCUCAGCAAUGCUUGAUGAAGAUCAGCAAACAGUUGCAAGGCAAACCAAUACCUUUUAAGUGUCAGAAGUCACAAAUAGAUGGACGCAGAGAUGAAAGAUAAGUGAAUCACAGAAGAGGAAAGAUGAAAGAUGUGUUAGAAGAGUCAGAGAUAUGAAAUAAAAAAACAAGCUUCCCCUUGUGAGCAUGGGCUUCAGGAUCUGCUGGAACAAGAUGGCAUCAUGUUGAGUGACAAGAAGUUGAACUUGGAAAGAAAGAAAACAAGAUUUGAUGACACAACUACACCUUUGGGGCUAAGACUUGCUUGGAUCAGAGAGGCCUAAAUGUACUGAGCGCAUGCCAGUAAAGUUUUCAGUCAGCAAAUUCUUGCAAAUUGCAUUGUGAAAUGAUGAUAUGUUUCCCAUUACAUACACUCUUCUCAGGCAUCAGUAUUUGUCAUUUAUGAUUUUGUCAGCACAUAUCUUAUUAGAUGUAUGCCAUGAAAUAGAUGCAGAGAAUAAACUAAAUAAGGUAUGUUCUGAUGAAGACCGAUUUCAGCAUCAAUGAUGCCAAGAAAUGUAAAUAAGCAUUUAAGAUAUAUGUGAAAUAUUAUUGUUUGGAAACAAAGGUGCAAAUGCUUUUACUAAUAUAGAAAUGCUUGUGUGGUGAUAAAAGCUGUCAAGAGAAUUAUGUUUCCUGCUUCUGAGAUGCUCUUAAGUAUUUCGAGAAAAUGCAUGUCAAGAGUUAAUUGUCAAACAAAGGAAAAUAUAAUUGGUGAAGAUGUGUAUGUGUGUGUGUAUGUGUGUGUGUGUGUGUGUGUGUGUGAGAGAGAGAGAGAGAGAGAGAGAGAGAGAGAGAGAGAGAGAGAGAGAGUGCAUGUAUGUACACCUAUUGCACCUUCUUAGGAAAGAAGGGUUUCUUCUAUUCCCAAGCUACUAAAUGCUGAGCAGAUGGUCACAGGAGAAUAUUGGGAUGCACAGGCCUUGGAGAUUGAGGAAAAGCACAGACUUACAUGUCUGGACUCUUCUGGAGAAAGCAUAAAGGAAUGUUGCCGAGUCAGAAAUUACACAUCAUCACAAACAUUUCAUUAGCCACUUCCAGCUCUGUUGACUUCUGCAUGGACCUUGGGUUUGGCCAACCUGAGGAUGUUAGUAUUUGGCAGGUUGAAGUGGCUGAUGGUCCUGAUUUCCCUUUAUAGUAAAGGCAGGUCCACCAGUCCUGGAACGUGCAAGGACCCAUAAUAAUUCAGACUUGUGUUGUCUACAUG
rnacentral:lncRNA from 1 species